CAGUACUACUAGCUUAUAAAGACUGAGGUCGCUACAGUUAAAAUCUCUUGCUGAGUUAAUCCACCUUUAAACUAUUAAUGUCUAUAAACAAAUAUGUAUUUUUGUAUUUACAUGGCUCAGCAUUUCUGAGUGAACACCGCUGGUUCACUCAAUAUUUUUAAGUGUACUGUCGAUCACGUGAUAUGACGUCAUGACGUGCCAUCCUAACUGACGUUACCUGAAAAAUCUAUCCAAGAUGGCUACCCUCUCGAGCAAUGUGGUGUCUAUGCGUGGUAUCAAGCAUUAAACUUUAAGGUUGAAGUGGAAGAACUACAGAAAAGUGCAUCCUCCAAAAUCAAGUGCUUCACUGGUUGGGGGGUCAUCCCUUGUCUGGAUCAGUUAUUUUAUGCAGUCAGCAGUGAAUUCAUGGACACUGAAGACUUUGAUCGAUUUUUUGCAAAGUGAGUUGUAAU